rnacentral:tRNA from 1 species
UAUGUUUUAGUAUAAGAUGUACUUGAAUUUUUGAUAUUCAAAGUGGUAGUUUGAUUUUGCCAAACAUAA